rnacentral:rRNA from 1 species
AACGUAGGAGGCGAGCGUUAUCCGGAUUUACUGGGCGUAAAGCGCACGCAGGUGGCUCUGCAGGUCGGACAUGAAAGCUCCUGGCUUAACUGGGAGAGGUGGUUCGAAACCGCAGGGGCUUGAGGUUGGGAGAGGGACGUGGAAUUCCCGGUGUAGUGGUGGAAUGCGUAGAUAUCGGGAGGAACACCAGUGGCGCAAGCGGCGUCCUGGCCCACACCUGACGCUGAGGUGCGAAAGCGUGGGUAGCAAACAGG